rnacentral:rRNA from 1 species
UACAGAGGUCCCGAGCGUUGUUCGGAUUCACUGGGCGUAAGGGGUGCGUAGGCGGUCGGGUAAGUCUGAUGUGAAAUCUCACAGCUUAACUGUGAAACUGCAUUGGAUACUAUUCGGCUUGAGAGUUGGAGGGGGGACUGGAAUUCUCGGUGUAGCAGUGAAAUGCGUAGAUAUCGUAAGGAAGACCAGUGGCGAAGGCGAAUCUCUGGACAGUUACUGACACUGAGGCACGAAGGCCAGGGGAGCAAACAGG